rnacentral:lncRNA from 1 species
AUGAUGGACAUGGAACAGCCCAGAGAGUUGAGCACCGGCCCCGUGUUGAGCCUCAAGCCCAAGGAGCCUUCAGUGGGAGAUCAUGGAUCUGUAACGCUUGCGGUUACCCUGACCCUGAGCACUGAGGGUGAUGUCAGCAGCCUGGACAAUUCCAGAACAAAUUCAUAUCCCCCUCAGCAUCUCUUGGGGCACAAAGGCAAAACAGGCAUUGAUGACCUGACGGCCAAGCUCAAGAAGAAGCUGCACAAGUCUAAAAGCACCGAGAGUGUGAAAAGCAUUGUCCCACACCAGCCCCAGCCUACCAGGCUGAAGGAUACGCUGGAAAAGACAUCCUCAAACUGGGAUCAAGAGGAGAUGGAGUCACAUUUGAACAGGCAAGCACUGAACCCCUGGGAUGUAGCUGGUGGGUUAAACCCUUCUGGCCACCUCAGAGAUGAGGAGGAAGUUCCAGCUGCCAGGAAGAACUAUGUCAGGACACACAAGUGGCUCAAGAAUGAGGACAGCAACUAUUGGAUUGGACCUAAUCAACUUUUCUACCAUGGUUGGAGACCUGUGGAAUUGAAGCGAAAGCCCAGAGCUGACCAGAUUCUAAACAGGAACCUGGAUUUUCUCUCUGACCCAUUGGCUCAGAUCCGCCCCGUUGCGAGCAGCAGGGGAGAGGCUGCGGCUGAAAGGGAGCAUUCCUCUCUAGGUGGGCACCGCCAGAUCAUGCCUGCCACCACAGAGGAGGAAGGGUCUGUGUUCCUCAAUAAACCUCUGAGUACCCAAAUUCCACACCUUGCACCGGUUCCAAAAGAACUCUUGGAUACCACGGUCCAUCAUCACCUGCGCUUGCUGGAGCCAGACAAAGACAAAGGCCUGCGGUCGUUCAUGGCCCACGUGAAGCGAGCCCUGAGGAUGGACUGCAGCCUGCCCCAGCUCAAGCAGGCCUGUGCCAAGAUGGUCUCAAAGUUCAGGAUACUUCUAAAGGACCUCAGCAAGAGACAAGAGAACCAGGGAGCCUCUGAUCCCAUGGACCAGUGUCCCCUGCGAGAGAACACGAUCAUUCACAUGGCCUUAGGGGAGGGCAAGAAACUCGCAAGGAAGGUAGGAGAGCUGCUGGGCACUGCUGCAUGUGUGUGUCCUCCUGGGCAAAGGAGAAUGGAAAGAUCAAUCCUCUGGCUCCCGUGA